AGUAAAUUGGUUAAGUUAGAAAGGGCGCACGGUGGAUGCCUUGGCACUAGGAGCCGAAGAAGGACGGGACUAACACCGAUAUGCUUUGGGGAGCUGUACGUAAGCGUUGAUCCAGAGAUUUCCGAAUGGGGGAACCCACUAUCUUUAGUCGGAUAGUAUCCUUACGUGAAUACAUAGCGUGAGGAAGGCAGACCCAGGGAACUGAAACAUCUAAGUACCUGGAGGAAGAGAAAGAAAAAUCGAUUUCCUGAGUAGCGGCGAGCGAAACGGAAAGAGCCCAAACCAAGAAGCUUGCUUCUUGGGGUUGUAGGACACUCUAUACGGAGUUACAAAAGAAAGUUAUAAAUGAAGCGGUCUGGAAAGGCCCGCCAAAGACGGUAACAGCCCGGUAGUUGAAAUGGCUUUCCCUCCAGAGUGGAUCCUGAGUACGGCGGAACACGUGAAAUUCCGUCGGAAUCCGGGAGGACCAUCUCCCAAGGCUAAAUAC
rnacentral:rRNA from 1 species